rnacentral:lncRNA from 1 species
GCUUCUGGGCAGGCAGCACUAACACUCAGGAGAAGGUCUGCCUCUGUCUGCGCCUUCCUGGUGAGAAUCCCCCCGUAACAGUUCUAGUUUUCAGAGGGGACAGAGAGAAAGAGAGUGAGGUGGGGGGGGAAGGCUGUCUACUCUGUUGAUGAAGGACAAAGCUUUGAUCAUUUUUGUUCAGGCUUCACUUGGCUAGAGGUUUUAGGUUCUUAGACUCCAGUCAGUAGUUGUGUUGGCUUUCUUUCUUUCUCUUAGUCUCUCUGUAGUGUGCUUCUCUCUCUCUCUCUCUCUCUCUCUCUCUCUCUCUCUCUCUCUCUCUCUCUCUCUCUCUCUCCCCUUUCACAUUCUCCUUCUGUUGCCCUCCCUCUCUCAUUUCUCCUCAUAGGUUCAAUGCAGGCAGAUGAGUGUCACAGAUGUAACUGAGGCACUGAAUAAUCAACAUAUCGGAGCCAAUUCCCAGGACGGCAAGAGGGGGAACCGGCAGAGAUGACUGACCCUGGAGGACAAGAGCAUUCUUCUGACAAGUUUUAGGUAAGGGAAUAUUUAUAUACAAUUCGUUCGGAAUCUUUGUGCCUGAGAGAGACAUUUGUGAUUAAGAAAAAGGAAGUCACUAUAGGUAAAUAUCUUUGAGAGGGUACCCUCCCUGGUGUCCCUGGCUUGCAGAACCUGUCAGUGUAAAUGCCUGCUUUGUGUUACUAGACUCUUCAGAGGUGAGGUGUGUGCGGGGACUGGAGGAAGGGUGAGCUGCUUUUUAUGUCUGUGUGGUGACAUUUAUCAUGCUGUUUAAAUCUGUAUCUGUAGAAAAAAAAUAGAAUUUCUGUUUGACGAUAGUAUCGUUUUUUUUUUGUGCAAGGCAGAGCAUAUGGCUGUGCAGAAUUCAAGUGGCGUUCUUUCAUUCUUAAUUUGUAAUUAUUUUUACACUCAACAGUACUGAGGUCAGAGAGUUUUAAAAAUUAAUGAGAUUCCCUGUGGAGUUCAAAUAGUAAUAUCUACAGUGAGCCUCCACAAAGAGAUAAGAUUAGGCCAGUAUAUUUUUGCUAUAGAUUUGGCUGUCUUACUUUGAAUACACGCCAUCUGAAAGCAUAUGUAGGGUUCAAUAGUUUCUGGGAGUUGCUGUGAUUUGGAGACUAGCCCUUAAUUUAAUGUUUAGUGACCAGGAGCCAUGCAGUCCCAGUUAGAGUGCUGAAGAUGAACACGGUGAGCGGAGACAUUCCUAAAACUUCACAGACAUUAUUGUCAUGACAAUGGAGGGUAUCUUAGACUUUCGAGGAAAUAGCAAAUGAUGAAUGAGGCGCGUGCUAA